AGUAACGACACUUUGUACGAGCAUCGACACCUGUACCUCCUGCAUGAGUGAGAGAGAACACUGUAGGAGCCUCGGCAAGGCCAAUGAUAGUCAACGAGAUAGAGGAAGAGAUUAUCCAUCUGGGUUAAUGUUAUUAUCAUAUUAAAUCUUGCUUUUUUUUGUUCUUGGUCUGAAAAAACCCUAAGAUCGAAUUCGUCGUUCAGAUCAUUAUUGAAAGUGUUAGCUUUUAUGUUCAUGGAGGCUUUUUGUAUCUUUCUUUUAAUGGAUUUCUCUUUGUGCUUAGAUCUGACUCAUAUCUUUUGCUUGUAAAUUCCCUUUUCUUCAUUUAUGUUUUCGGGGUUUCUAUUUAUAGAAAGUUUUAUCUUGAUUCGUUUCUCUUUUUUAUUUUCAUUCUUGGAACAUAGAAAUUGACAGAAGAGAGUGAGCACACAGAGGCACUUGUAUAAGAUAUAUUUUUGCUUUUGCGUGCUCACUUCUCGUUCUGUCAGCUUCCAGUGCCGGGAUCUGAUCUAUUUUCGUGCAGUUCUUGCCCCGUUUUUGUUCCAAAUCAAUCAACCACUCUACUGCCUCUCUCUCUCUCUCUAUACCGGCCGUGUUGAGUACUUGAAGAAAGAAAGAAGACAAACAAAACACCACCUUAAACGAUAACGGAGGAGGAGAAAAAGAUGGUGAAAGGCUUGAUCAUGACAACUCUAGCGUCUAUGUCUAUUUCUUUUCAUAUUUAAUGAAGAUAAACAGCUUGAAAGCGUGCCUUUUGAUUAUUUUUUUUCUUUGACGGUAAGCCUGAUCAGUGAUUACUGUGCUGAUUUUGCGGCAAAUUCUGCUUAGCAUGGGACCAUUUCACGUUAUCUAGUAGUAGUAUGGUCCUUACAUCUGACUUCUCUUCUUUCUUUCCCUUUUUUAUUUCCAGCAUCGCAUGCCAUGAAUGAGGCACAAUCGGGAGUCGAUUUGAUUCAGAUUUGAGUCUGUUUUCACCUGAAUCUAAAAAGAAUCUGGUUGUUUUCUUUUAUCUUUUGUUAUAGGCUCUAAAACCCUAAUAUAGAACUGCUAAUGGCUGCUUCUUUGAAUGAGAUUUGCAAGUUAUUUGAUGUGCUUAUGUGUUUUCAUGGUGAUUUGAUGUGACAUAUAUAUUGAGUUUUUGAGGGGAAAGGGAGGUUGAUUUUGAAUCUAUAUGUAAUUCAUCUUGAUCUUAUGUUUUGUUACAGAGCUGUGGAGUCUUCUAAAGAACCAUAAAUCCAUUUACAGUUGAAAUUUUUUCCUUCAAUUGAUAAUCGAUCACCCAUUAGUGAUUUUCAAGAUCCUGUGGACUAUUACCACCUGAAGUGGCGCAAUCUAUUUCAUUUGGGUCGCAUAUAAGAACUAUGCAUUGGUGGCACCAAGUUCACGGAGAACCCUUUUUUUAAGGAAAGCCUGAAAUGUAUCUGUUGGGAAAGGUAACUUUUCUUGAUCUUAUUUUUCACUAUUUACAUGUAUCUUUCAGUUUCCUAAUUAAGUUUUUGGUUAAACUUUAGGUAUUUAUAAGUUAGAUAGCGAACCACAGAAUGUUUAAGUAGAUAUGAAGGUGUAAUGUUUUUUCCAUCAAUGUUUAAUUUAGUAUUCAAUUGAACUUUCAGCUUUGAUAAAUUUAGCAGUUGAUAAAUAAAUAUGAGCAUGGUACCUCCAUGCAGGAGUCUUAUGGCAUAGCUUUACUUCCAUUGGUGAUCUAUGAUGUCAACACUUAUUGUCCAUCAUUAGUUUGUUGAUAAAUUCUGAACUGAUAGUGAUUGAUCUUUGACUACGGAGCUGGGGCACAGAAUUAUAUUUAUAGCGUUUUGAGUGCAGACAUUGCAUGUACUUAUAUGGAGAUUUUAUCUUAUUUACUUGGGCUUUAGCUUUGAACACCCCAAAAUAGAGUUUAGCGGAGUCGUCAGCCCGAAUCGUCAAAAAGUUGUUGGUAAAUUCAUCUUCCUUGACCUUUUUUCCUUCUUCAGUGACGUUCUUCUUCCCUGGUGCUUUUCAGUGGUUAGGUUACUCUUGGCGAUCUCAUUUUCAGCUUGAGCUUGAAUCCACCCCUAUUUUUCUGCAUGAAUAAUGUCUCAUGUUUUUUCUUUAGGUUGUGUUGUAGAUGAAAGCAUGCAGCGGGUGCAAAUGGGUGUUGCUUGGUUCUGAAUAAUAUUCCAAAGCUUACUGAUGACCUAAUUUUUGCAUUUACUUCAGCUAUUACAUGCAGUGAAACACCAAUGAUCAAUGUCUUCUGAGCAUCUAAAUGUUUCGGAUGCCCAAAAUAGCCCUUUAACGGAGUUGAAUUCUGUUUACUUUGGGUUAUGAGGAUCUGUCGAUAAGAAUUGACAACUUUUCAUUCUGUGGUUUUGUAAAGGAGUAAGCAAAUUACUCGCCUGCACUAGAACUGUCAGGUAUCUGGUUUUUGAUUUCUACCCGGAGCAGGUUAACCCUCGGCAGGUUUUGGUUUCAAUUUUUGUGGAACCUAUUCCUGCUUUUAUAGUGGCAUACUCAGAACUCAGCUUUAAUCUUAACAAUUUUAUGUAUAAGCUAAAACAAAGAUGACACAUGAGUUGUGUUUUCUCUAGCUUUUGAAUACGGUUCUCUCAUGUCCGUACCAUUCGUAUCAGUUGUAAUCAUGCGAAACAAUUUGUGAUCUUGAAUAUUACAAUGUUUACUGGUAGAUAGUAGAGAGCUAGCGAUAGCCAGUCUACAUGGCUCUGAAAUUGCAUAUUGUGGUGGUAUAUGACCAGUUCAAAUAUAAGAUAAGAGACUUGAAUUCUUUGUUAGAUAUUACAACUUACUAGUA